AUUAAAACUCAGUGUUGAAAGUAAUAGGGUUUGUGUUAAAGCAAGAUGCAAAUAUGAUUAUGAUGUUAAACAUGAACAAGUUAUAUUGAGAGUAUUGAAACAGAGGGUGUUUGCUGUCAACAAAAAACGACAACCAUGUGUAAAUCUAAGGGCAUAUAAUAAUAAUGUUAGUCGACUUUUAUUUUUAGCUCAAUCUGAGAUUGUUAUAGUAAUGGGGGA
rnacentral:lncRNA from 1 species